rnacentral:rRNA from 1 species
AGAGUUUGAUCAUGGCUCAGGACGAACGCUGGCGGCGUGGAUUAGGCAUGCAAGUCGAACGGUAUAAACCUUUCGGGGUUUAGAGAGUGGCGAACGGGUGAGUAACACGUAGGUAAUCUACCCUCAAAACGAGGACAACCCAGGGAAACUUGGGCUAAUACCGGAUGCGUGCAAGCAAUGUUUUGGCUGUUAAUGCUAUUCACGGAAGUGAGUAGUGUUAAUGGUUGAGAGCAUUAUUUGCAUAAAAGGUGGCAUAUGCUGCCGUUUGAGGAUGAGCCUGCGUCCUAUUAGUUAGUUGGUGAGGUAAUGGCUUACCAAGGCGAUGAUAGGUAGGCGGCCUUAACGGGUGGUCGCCCACACUGGGAUUGAGAGACGGCCCAGACUCCUACGGGAGGCAGCAGUCGAGAAUAGUCUACAAUGGACGGAAGUCUGAUAGUGCGACGCCGCGUGAACGAAGAAUCCCUUCGGGGUGUAAAGUUCUUUUAUACGUGAGCAGUGCCCUUUAUAUGAAUAGUAUAGAGGGAGGGAUUUAAGCGUAUGAAUAAGCAACGGCUAACUCCGUGCCAGCAGCCGCGGUAACACGGGGGUUGCAAGCGUUGUCCGGAAUUACUAGGCGUAAAGUGUAGGUAGGCGGAUAGAUAAGUUUAAGGUUAAAGGCUACGGCUUACCCGUAGUAAGGCGUUAGAUACUGUUUAUCUGGAAUGCGGUUGAGGGAGACAGAAUUCCUGGUGUAGCGGUGGAACGCGCAGAGAUCAGGAGGAAUACCGAAGGCGAAGGCAGUCUUCUAAGCCGAUAUUGACGCUAAACUGCGAAGGUGUGGGGAUCAAACAGGAUUAGAUACCCUGAUAGUCCACACAGUAAACGAUAAUCACUAGGUGUUGGGUUCGUAUAGGACUCGGUGCCGGAGCUAACGCGAUAAGUGAUUCGCCUGGGGAGUACGAUCGCAAGGUGAAACUCAAAUGAAUUGACGG